rnacentral:rRNA from 1 species
UAGGGAAUUUUCGGCAAUGGGCGAAAGCCUGACCGAGCAAUGCCGCGUGAAUGAAGAAAUUCUUCGGAAUGUAAAGUUCUGUUAUUGAGGACGAAAGAUAGUAUCAGGAAAUGGGUAUUAUUUGACGGUACUUGAUGAGAAAGCCCCGGCUAACUAUGUGCCAGCAGCCGCGGUAAUACAUAGGGGGGCGAGCGUUAUCCGGAUUUAUUGGGCGUAAAGCGUGCGUAGGUGGCUAUUUAAGUCUGGCGUGAAAUGUCACAGCUUAACUGUGAAGGGUCGUUGGAAACUGGACAGCUUGAAUCCAGAAGAGGUAAGUGGAAUUCCAUGUGUAGCGGUAAAAUGCUUAGAUAUAUGGAGGAACACCAGUGGCGAAGGCGGCUCUCUGGACUAUUACUGACGCUGAGGUGCGAAAGUGUGGGGAGCAAACAGGAUUAGAUACCCUGGUAGU